rnacentral:rRNA from 1 species
UACGUAGGGGGCAAGCGUUGUCCGGAAUCAUUGGGCGUAAAGAGCGCGUAGGCGGUCCGGUAAGUCCGCUCUGAAAGUCCGGGGCUCAACCCCGGGAGGCGGGCGGAUACUGUCGGGCUAGAGUCCGGAAGAGGCGAGUGGAAUUCCUGGUGUAGCGGUGAAAUGCGCAGAUAUCAGGAGGAACACCGAUGGCGAAGGCAGCUCGCUGGGACGUGACUGACGCUGAGACGCGAAAGUGUGGGGAUCAAACAGGG